rnacentral:rRNA from 1 species
CAGCAGCCGCGGGAAAACGAGGGGUGCAAGCGUUAUUCGGAUUGAUUGGGUGUAAAGGGUGUGCAGACGGCUUAUUAAGUCACUUGUUAAAUUCUUCGGCCUAACUGAAGGUCUGCAAGUGAUACUGAAGAGCUAGAGGGUGGAAGAGAGAAGUGGAAUUCUCGGAGUAGCGGUAAAAUGCGUAGAUCUCGAGAGGAACACCAAUGGCGAAGGCAGCUUCUUGGUCCAUUCCUGACGUUCAUACACGAAAGCGUGGGGAGCAAACAGGAUUAGAUACCCCAGUAGUCCCUGUCUCUUAUAC